GACGAACGCUGGCGGCGUGCUUAACACAUGCAAGUCGAGCGGUAAGGCCCUUUCGGGGGUACACGAGCGGCGAACGGGUGAGUAACACGUGGGUGACCUGCCCUCAGCUCUGGGAUAAGCCUGGGAAACCGGGUCUAAUACUGGAUAUGACUCCAUGACGCAUGUUGUGGGGUGGAAAGCCUUGUGCGGCUGAGGAUGGGGCCCGCGGCCUAUCAGCUUGUUGGUGGGGUGANGGCCUACCAAGGCGACGACGGGUAGCCGGCCUGAGAGGGCGACCGGCCACACUGGGACUGAGACACGGCCCAGACUCCUACGGGAGGCAGCAGUGGGGAAUCUUGCGCAAUGGGCGAAAGCCUGACGCAGCGACGCCGCGU
rnacentral:rRNA from 1 species